rnacentral:rRNA from 1 species
GAUGAACGCUAGCGGGAGGCUUAAUACAUGCAAGUCGAGCGGUAAGGUUUUCGGACCCUAGAGCGGCGAACGGGUGAGUAACGCGUACGAAACCUACCUUUAAGAGAGGGAUAGCCCUGGGAAACUGGGAGUAAUACCUCAUAGUAUUCAAUAACCGCAUGGUUUAUGGAUUAAAGCUGCGGCGCUUAAAGAUGGUCGUGCGUCUGAUUAGCUAGUUGGUAGGGUAACGGCCUACCAAGGCUACGAUCAGUAGGGGGCGUGAGAGCGUGGCCCCCCACACGGGUACUGAGACACGGACCCGACUCCUACGGGAGGCAGCAGUAAGGAAUAUUGGGCAAUGGACGGAAGUCUGACCCAGCCAUCCCGCGUGCAGGACGAAUGCCCUAUGGGUUGUAAACUGCUUUUGUUUGGGAAGAAAUGUAUUCUUUUAAGAGUAUUUGACGGUACCAGACGAAUAAGCACCGGCUAACUCCGUG